GCCAGCAGCCAUAUCACUCUGCAACUCACAACUGGUAACCCACUGAAGCUAAGCAGCUGUGAGCCUGGUCAGUACCUGGAUGGGAGACCUCCUGGGAAAAAACUAAGGUUGCUGCUGGAA
ensembl:rRNA 5S_rRNA 5S ribosomal RNA